UUAAUCAUCGUCUGAUAAGUGGGAAUGGCGUCUUCAGUGAUCAUGUCACCCACCAGCACAACAAAGUAAUCGUCAGGUAGCCCCGCAGUGCGUUCACGUAGGGCCCUGACUUGGUCAGUGAAGUCCGAAAAAGGCAGCGUCGGAUCGGGUAAGAAGUCUUGGGGCUGCCAGCAUUUCUCUACUGGUUUGAGUAAUGGUAACACGUUAUUGGUGGCCCAGGUUUCUAGUGACUUGAAGACUUCGACUUUUUCGGGUGGCAUUGAAUGUGUUUUUGGUUUCGGUGGUGCUGCGACGGCGGAGAUUUGCAGGAAUCGGACGGUGGAGGAUGCGGCGGUGAGACGAUGGUGGGCGGGAUUUGGGACAAGUGG
rnacentral:lncRNA from 1 species